rnacentral:rRNA from 1 species
UAGGGAAUCUUCGGCAAUGGGGGCAACCCUGGACCGAGCAACGCCGCGUGAGUGAAGAAGGUUUUCGGAUCGUAAAGCUCUGUUGUAAGAGAAGAACGUGUGUGAGAGUGGAAAGUUCACACAGUGACGGUAACUUACCAGAAAGGGACGGCUAACUACGUGCCAG